AUCCGGCUGAUGAGUCCCAAAUAGGAUGAAACGUGGGUCGUGGAU
rfam:Schistosoma mansoni strain Puerto Rico chromosome 2, complete genome